UACGAAGGGGGCUAGCGUUGUUCGGAAUUACUGGGCGUAAAGCGCACGUAGGCGGAUAUUUAAGUUAGGGGUGAAAUCCCAGGGCUCAACCCUGGAACUGCCUUUAAUACUGGGUAUCUCGAGUCCGAGAGAGGUGAGUGGAACUCCGAGUGUAGAGGUGAAAUUCGUAGAUAUUCGGAGGAACACCAGUGGCGAAGGCGGCUCACUGGCUCGGUACUGACGCUGAGGUGCGAAAGCGUGGGGAGCAAACAGG
rnacentral:rRNA from 1 species